AAGGCAGAAAACUAUACUUGAACAACAAAAGACUCAGAGGGUAGCUGGAUAGAGGUCUAUUUGACAGAAGCAUUGGCCUCUGGUAGAGGGACAUUGCUAAGAAGAGGUAACUUUAGGUGUGAGCUGGGGGAUUAAAUACCCCAGGCUUGCUCACCCUUCCUGUCUUUAAAAGUCUGUCAGUGUUUUCCAUUGGCUGAAUCCACCUAGAAGAGAGGAGAAAAGAGAGUGUUGAUGAUAUAGUCUAUUCAGGACAGUCUUCUGGUGGGGCACAGUAUAGAGUAGAGAAGAGUGGAAAAUGGAUCUGGAGGGGCAAGUAAAAUAUACCCAGCACAACUGGCUUUUUAAGGACACAGAAGAUAGCAAUUUCUGCAGAAGCGGAGGAAUGGCUGUUUAGGAAGGGAAAAAUCAAGUAAACAGAGAUAGAGAAUUAUUGAAAUAAUGUGCUCAGAAAUGGAAAUUAUUUCUGUUUGGAGUGUGUGCUGAACAAAGAAAAAUAAUAGGCCAUAAAAAUGAAAAGCUAGAUUGGCAUUUGCAGAGACAUGCUCAUCUUUACACUGCUUAUUCUCUUAUUUAUUGUCUUGUAUUAUAUCAUGGCUUUAUAAAUGCAUGAACAUCAAUACUGCCUUCAUGGUUAGGUAGAAGAUACUGGGUCAAGUUCUUUGUGUUACCAUGGCUUUCUGAGUGUUUUGCACAUAUAGAAAGAGAAGGAGUAAUUUAGAGAGAGAGGCUUACAGUUAAGAAUAUAGGCUCUGGAAUUGGACUGUUUUGUGUUUGAACUCACUUCCUAGCUUGAUGACAUUGGCAAAUUACCUAAUCUGGGCCUCAGUUUUCUUAUUUAUAAAACAGGCAGUCAAAUUAACUUUAUCAUAGUUGUGAGGAGUAAAUUAAUGAUACAUAUAAACUACUUAGCCCAGAGCCCAGCAGGCAUGUCAGUAAUGUUACCUAUUUUUAUAAAAAUUGCAGUUAGGAGGAUAUAGCUGUCUUCCAAUCCUCAUCUGACAGCCUGCCACAUUAAAUAGGUAUUAAAGUUCCUAUUUUUGUGAGAACUUUUGGGGUCAGAACUAAGACUAAUAUUCAUAAAUAAUAGGUUUUGGGUUAAAAUAAAAAAGUCUUUUGAUCACUUAAGUUGCUUGAAGCAGAACUGGUUAGUUUUUUGUUAGAAUGAUUUCCAUACCAAGGGAAGUAUUCAAGAAAAGACUAGGGAUGUUUAAAAGUAUAUUCAUGUAUCAGAUUAAUAAAAACUAGAUAAAAUCUUCAGGAUACCUUCCAACUAUAACUUUAUUCUCUAAAUCUGUGAAAAUCGAAGCUCUGGAUAGAACUUGUUUGAUUUCUUCUCUGUUUGUUCCUCAUGGUAAGGUCAAUUCCUCCCCCUCCCCCAAUAAUCCAAUUUAAAUGUCAUCCCUCUUUAUUUAACAAUAUUUAUUGAUCACAAUCAAGUGUUCCAGGUUGUGUUCUAGGUAUUAUGAUUAGUACUGUGAAUAAGACAUGUAAGAUUCUUGAUCUAAUGGAGCUUUAAAAAAAUUCUAGCACAUGUAUGCAGAAAAUAAAAACAGUAAAAUAUUCAGGUAGUUCUAAGUACUCUGAUGCAUAAGUAAAACAAUAUGGGAUGAAGGAUAUUAGGGCCUGGGUGAUGGAAGUAGUGCUUUUAGGGUGGCCAAGGAAAGCUUGGAAGAGGGGACUUUUUAACUGACAGGUGAGUGUUCUGAAGGAGCUGGCCAUGUAAGGCCUGGGGGAAGAACAUUCUAGGCAGAAGUACUAGCAAAGGCUAGUGGAGUCCUGUCGUGGGAAAGAACUUGGCAUGCUUGGGAGUCAGAAAGCAAGCUGGGUGGCUGGAGAGUGGUAGGAGUGGUAGGAGAGGUAAGAAGAGCAUGGAUCGCACAGGGCCUGGUGGACCAUGUUAACACAUUUCAUUCUUACGCAUUUUGAUGGGAAGCCAUGAGGCAUUUUCUUCCAUUUUUUCCCUAUGUAUAGAUUUUUUCUUCCAUCAUUUGUUGUAAAAACUCUCCUUCAUUGAAUGGUGUGGGAA